rnacentral:rRNA from 1 species
UCCAUGCAGUUCUUGCCUGGUUUCCCACUGAAGCUAAGCAGGGUUAAGCCUGGCCAGUACCUGGAUGGCAGACCUCCUGGGGAAUACUAAGGUUGCUGCUGGAA